ensembl:lncRNA
CUACAACAAAGCAGUACAAAUCAUGUAAUGAAAAGAAUGCAGUUGAAAGACAAUCUAAACAGGCUGUGUUGGUAAAAUAUAUUUAAUAUAUAUUUCACGUUAUCUUUUUUUCUGUGCAGCACCAAUAAACUACAGUUCGAAUACAAACGCGGCCCUCAGGGGUAGCUACGUUACACCACAAAACCUUUCUAAUCUUUACCAAUUGCGGUUUGCACUUUUCCGCUUUGACCCCAAGCAGAGCUCGCCUUUAAUACAGAUGUUGGCGUGAUCACAAAGAAAUGAAUGAAAUAAGUAUCAGGAGACCUGCAAAAGAGGAACAUUUUGUGCUUUGCAGAAAAGAGGCAAAAACCACUUCCUGUGAGUGAAUGAGAGAGCCGUCCCAAAAACCACACAGUUUCAUAAAAAUACCACACACGCUACCUCGAUAAUGCUGCAGCCUAACAUUAUAGCUGCCCCUUGUUUACAACACAAUAAACCCAUACGCUGGAAAGCAAAGAGCACUUGCGCUGCACAAAAAGAAAGAAAGAAAAAAAAAACCACAAUAAGAUAACAGUGUCAUGUCUCUACUGCUUCACUGACACCCAGCCAUGUUUCCAGCCAAAACGCAGGUAAACCCGCACCUGGUAUUAGUCAGUGUCAUUAUUCAGUUAUUGUUUCCAUUGUUCCUGGAAAUAUCAAAUGAAACCCUUGCUUCCUUGCAGAAUAAAACUGCACUAAAUUGACGCUACUCUAUUCUGUCCAAUCGUCCUAGAGUCUCGAGGCAGGUUAUUAAGUUACUUUAUUGAUCACCAAUGUGGAGGGGGAAAAAAAGCUCAUUCAAAUGUCACAGAAAAGGAGACAGCAUUAAUACAGAGACAGCCUGAACGCUCAUCUGUCUGACUGAAAUGGUUUCAGUUUAAAUGUCACUGUGUCUCUCUUCUACGCAGCUUUGACUGUCAUACAGUUUAUGUCUUCUCGUUAGUGGCAGCAAAGGCCUGAAUGGCCAUCUGACGAAUUCAAUUCAAUCAAAGUGAAACUGCUGCUUGGUACGCGAGUUGUCCAAAAGCGAACGCUGGGAUUACCCAGGGAGGUGGUGAGUCAAACUGUCAAAGAAAAAAAGCAAUUCAGCCAC